rnacentral:tRNA from 1 species
GGGUCCGACUUUGUUAUAUGGUUAGAGCGCCUCGUUCGCAAUGAGGAGGUCAGGGGUUCGAAUCCCCUCAGCUCCACCA